GGCGGUGGGCGGUGGGCGGCAGGGCUGGGGCGAAUCCACCCCUUCCAGCGAGGAGGCCCGGUCUAGGAGGAUGGAAGCCCGGGACGCGCCCGCCCGCAGAACACCGUGCUAAGAUCAACUACAGGCUUUGGGAAUUUAAAUAAAGGAAGAGGAAAGAGAUAGAAUGUUUUGGGACAAAAGGGACAAAAGCAUGUGUGGGAAGGUAAGUGCUGAGGACAGCCAGCAGCAAUAGGGGGUCAUCUCCCCUGGGGAGAGCUGAAGGAAUGAACAGAGGGGAGAGAAACUUGGCUAUCCAGACCCUGGAUGGAGCUGCCACCCCAUGCCCCUGAGAGUUAUCCGCGGGCACCCCUUCCAGAACCUCAGGCAUCACCUUGCAUCCCUCGGGGAAUGGAUCCAUUAGAGAAUCGAUCCUGCCACUGCUGUUUCUACCGUUCCCUCACACUCUGUCUGAAAAGGCGCCACCUUCAGCCCAUACUUCGCAGGGCUUUGAUUCCAAAGGUAGGGGACCUAACAUCAGAUAUAGGAGUUUGGUAAUUUAAAUAAAGCAAAACUUUGCC
rnacentral:lncRNA from 10 species